rnacentral:rRNA from 1 species
GACGAACGCUGGCGGCGUGCCUAAUACAUGCAAGUAGAACGCUGAAGCGAGGAGCUUGCUCUUCUUGGAUGAGUUGCGAACGGGUGAGUAACGCGUAGGUAACCUGCCUUGUAGCGGGGGAUAACUAUUGGAAACGAUAGCUAAUACCGCAUAACACUGGCUGACACUUGUCAUUUAUUUUCAAGGGGCAAUUGCUCCACUACAAGAUGGACCUGCGUUGUAUUAGCUAGUAGGUGAGGUAAUGGCUCACCUAGGCGGCGGUACAUAGCCGACCUGAGAGGGAGAUCGGCCAAACUGGGAAUGAGGAAAGGGCCAGACUCCUACGGGAGGCAGCAGGAGGGAAUCAUCGGAAAUGGGGGGAAAGCUGAACGAGGAACGACGCGUGAGGGAAGGAGGUUUUCGGAGCGGAAAGCUCUGUUGGAAGGCAAGGAAGGGUGGGAGGGUGGAAAGUUCACGCUGUGACGGUAGCUUACGAGAAAGGGACGGCUAACUACGUG